CUGCGGCCAGGUGCAGAAGCGCCGGAGAAAAGCUGUAGCUUGUCUGGACAGGGAUCCGCCUACCCAGAGUCCAAAGGAUGAUCAUCUGUGGGGAGGGAAGGCAUUAGCAUCUGGAUGCCUGAAAGGCUGAACUGGGCCAAGCUGCCUUGUACCUGAGCAACAGCAGCGGCUACAGCAAGCUCUCUGCAACCUGAACUGGUUAGAAGAACCAAACUUUCAAAUCAGCUGUCAGCUCUCCAGAUGCAUAUAGACAACUUCUUUCAGAGAUCCCCGAGAUGGCUGGGAAGGUACCUGGAAAAUUCCCCUAGUUAAGGCUUAUCUUGGUGGCACCAACAGCCUGGAGCUCUUCGUAGAAGGCAUGCUGGCAGGGGCCCACCUUUUCCCCCAAAAGCAAAAAUGCAAUGUGUCCGCUGCACAUUGUGUAUGUGUAUGUAUGUAGCUAGAUAGUGUGUGUGUAUUCAAAUGAUCUUAUUUCUAAGUUUACAUUGAUACAUAUGCAAAUUUGUUUCCA